UUUACCCCAGCCCAGUUUGGUUCAGAUUGUUCAGAGUUCCAGGGGGUGUUCAGGGUGUUUUCAGUGUGUUUCAGGGAUGGUUCAGGUUGUGUUCAGAGUUUCAGUGGGGUGUUUUCAGUGUGUUUCAGGGAUGGUUCAGGCUGUGUUCAGUUUCAGGGGGUGCUCAGAGGAGGCCCUGCAGCAGUGCCUGGGCACAGCCCCUGCACUGAUCCGAACCACUCGGCCGUGGCUCAGCACAGCCAAACCUCCGAGCAGCUCUGUCCUGCCCAGGGGCUGCAGAGCCCUGGGAGAGAAUUCCCAACCUUCCAGAGCCCUGGGAGAGAAUUCCCAACCUUCCAGAGCCCUGGGAGAGAAUUCCCAACCUUCCAGAGCCCUGCGAGAGAAUUCCCAACCUUCCAGAGCCCUGAGAGAGAAUUCCCAACCUUCCAGAGCCCUGGGAGAGAAUUCCCAACCUUCCAGAGCCCUGGGAGAGGAGAAUUCCCAACCUUCCAGAGCCCUGUUAGAGAAUUCCCAACCUUCCAGAGCCCUGUGAGAGGAGAAUUCCUAAUUUUCCAGAGCCCUGGGAGAGGAGAAUUGUUCACCCACAGAGAAUUCCCAACUUUCCAGAGCCCUGGGACAGGAGAAUUCCCAAUUUUCCAGAGCCCUGAGAGAGGAGGAUUCCCAACCUUCCAGAGCCCUGGGAGAGAAGAAUUCCCAAUUUUCCAGAGCUCUGGGAGGGUUUGUCCAGCCUCAGGGAUUCUGGGAUCUUGGGGUUCUGGGAUUCUGGGUGUUCUUGGAUUCUGGGGAUUCUGGGAUUCUGGGGUUAUGGUGUUCUGGGGGCUCAGGGAGCUGGAAGGGCUCCUGAAGGAAUUUCUCUGGGCUCAGGGAGCUGUGCCCAGCCCCUUCUGCCCUCUGUGCCAAGCUUGGCAGGGCUGAGAGGGUUUGGAGAGGGACUGGGGACAAGGAUGGAGGGACAGGAGGCAGGGAAUGGCUCCCACUGCCAGAGGGCAGGGCUGGGUGGGAGAUUGGGAAUUGGGAAUUGUGCCCUGGCAGGGUGGGCAGGCCCUGGCACAGGGUGCCCACCCUGGAUCCCUGGCAGUGCCCAAGGCCAGGCUGGACACUGGGAGCAGCUGGGACAGUGGAAGUGUCCCUGCCAUGGCAGGGGUGGCACUGGGUGGAUUUAGGGUCCCUUCAGCCCAAACCAGUCUGGGAUACUCAACUGGGGAUGGUUCCUGGUUGGUCCAGAGGGGCUCUCAUGCCCUGUUCCCAUUGUCACAGGAGGUGGGGGGUACUGGGACAGCAGGGAGCCCAGGAUGGGUUAGUCCUGCUCUGGAGUGAGCUGGGAGCCCUUGAGUAGAUUUAAUCCUGCUCUGGAGCAGCAGGG
rnacentral:lncRNA from 1 species